CUUUUGUAGAAUGAACCGGCGAGUUACGAUCUGAUGCAAGGUUAAGCAGAAAAUGUGGAGCCGUAGCGAAAGCGAGUCUGAAUAGGGCGAAUGAGUAUUUGGUCGUAGACCCGAAACCAGGUGAUCUACCCUUGGUCAGGUUGAAGUUCAGGUAACACUGAAUGGAGGACCGAACCGACUUACGUUGAAAAGUGAGCGGAUGAACUGAGGGUAGCGGAGAAAUUCCAAUCGAACUUGGAGAUAGCUGGUUCUCUCCGAAAUAGCUUUAGGGCUAGCCUCAAGUGAUGAUUAUUGGAGGUAGAGCACUGUUUGGACGAGGGGCCCCUCUCGGGUUACCGAAUUCAGACAAACUCCGAAUGCCAAAUAAUUUAACUUGGGAGUCAGAAUGUGGGUGAUAAGGUCCAUAUUCGAAAGGGAAACAGCCCAGACCACCAGCUAAGGUCCCAAAAUAUAUGUUAAGUGGAAAAGGAUGUGGCGUUGCCCAGACAACUAGGAUGUUGGCUUAGAAGCAGCCAUCAUUUAAAGAGUGCGUAAUAGCUCACUAGUCGAGUGACACUGCGCCGAAAAUGUACCGGGGCUAAACAUAU
rnacentral:rRNA from 1 species